rnacentral:rRNA from 1 species
CCUACGGGAGGCAGCAGUGAGGAAUAUUGGUCAAUGGGCGGAAGCCUGAACCAGCCAAGCAGCGUGCGGGAUGAAGGCCCUACGAGUCGUAAACCGCUUUUGUACGGGGAUAAACCCGUCCACUUGUGGCCGUCUGCAGGUACCGUGCGAAUAAGGAUCGGCUAAUUCCGUGCCAGCAGCAGCGGUAAUACGGAAGGUUCGAGCGUUAUCCGGAUUCAUUGGGCUUAAAGGGUGCGUAGGCGGUCGGUAAAGUCAGCGGUAAAAUCGCGCGGCUCAACCCCGGCGUGCAGUUGAAACUGGACGGCUUGAGUUCACAAGAGGCAGGCGGAAUUCGUGGUGUAGCGGUGAAAUGCAUAGAGAUCACGCAGAACCCCGAGUGCGAAGGCAGCCUACCGGGGUGCGACUGACGUUGAGGCACGAAGGUGCGGGUAUCAAACAGGAUUAGAUACCCGGGUAGUC